AAAAACCGUAGUUUUGCACUGUUUAUGUCCAAUGUUUGACCGUCCGUUUUAUUUGAAAUUUUAUUAUAAUUAAUAUUUUUUAUUGUUAUUAGAUAAUAAAACAUGAAUAGUAUUUUAUGUGUAACUGAUUUUUUAAAGUGUUUUAUAAACUUUUUAAAUAAGAUGGACGGUUAGACGUUUGAUACGGAAACCACAAUUGUAUUUAAA
rnacentral:pre_miRNA from 1 species